rnacentral:rRNA from 1 species
GGGUUGUGAGGUUAAGCGACUAAGCGUACACGGUGGAUGCCCUGGCAGUCAGAGGCGAUGAAGGGCGUGCUAAUCUGCGAUAAGCGCCGGUAAGGUGAUAUGAACCGUUAUAACCGGCGAUACCCGAAUGGGGAAACCCAGUGUGACUCGUCACACUAUCAUUAACUGAAUCCAUAGGUUAAUGAGGCGAACCGGGGGAACUGAAACAUCUAAGUACCCCGAGGAAAAGAAAUCAACCGAGAUUCCCCCAGUAGCGGCGAGCGAACGGGGAGGAGCCCAGAGCCUGAAUCAGCAUGUGUGUUAGUGGAAGCGUCUGGAAAGGCGCGCGAUACAGGGUGACAGCCCCGUACACAAAAGCGCAUGUGCUGUGAGCUCGAUGAGUAGGGCGGGACACGUGGUAUCCUGUCUGAAUAUGGGGGGACCAUCCUCCAAGGCUAAAUACUCCUGACUGACCGAUAGUGAACCAGUACCGUGAGGGAAAGGCGAAAAGAACCCCGGCGAGGGGAGUGAAAAAGAACCUGAAACCGUGUACGUACAAGCAGUGGGAGCCCCACCACUAAGCCAGUGGUGAACUCCACAUACGCAUCCUUUGCUGAGGAUACGGUUAACGGAGCGAAAGCGA